UUCCGGUUGAUCCUGCCGGAGGCUACCGCUAUUGGAGUUCGAUUAAGCCAUGCGAGUCGCGAGAAAUUAGAUUCUCGGCGUACCGCUCAGUAACACGUGGGUAACCUGCCCUAUGCUGGAUAAUAACCUCGGGAAACUGAGAAUAAUGAUCCAUAGUUCACUACGCCUGGAACGGUGAGUGGAUGAAAGCCCCGGCGGCAUAGGAUGGGCCUGCGGCGUAUCAGGUUGUAGGGGGUGUAAUGUACCCUCUAGCCCUCUACGCGUACGGGUGUUGGGAGACAUAGCCCGGAGAUGGAUUCUGAGACACGAAUCCAGACCCUACGGGGUGCAGCAGGCGCGAAAACUUGGCAAUGCGAGAAAUCGUGACCAGGGAACUCCAAGUGCAUCGGGUAAGACCGGUGCUUUUCUUGACUCUAAAUAGGUCUUGGAAUAAGGGGUGGGUAAGGACGGUGCCAGCCGCCGCGGUAAUACCGGCGCCUCAAGUGGUAGUCGCUUUUAUUGGGCCUAAAACGUCCGUAGCCGGUCUGAUACAUUCGUGGGUAAAUCAACCAGCUCAACUGGUUGAAUUCUGCGAGGACGGUCAGACUUGGGACCGGGAGAGGUGUGGGGUACGCUCAGGGUAGGGGUAAAAUCCUGUCAUCCUGAGCGGACCACCUGUUGCGAAGGCGCCACACUAGAACGGAUCCGACGGUCAGGGACGAAGCCUAGGGGCACGAACCGGAUUAGAUACCCGGGUAGUCCUAGGUGUAAACGCUGUGGACUUGAUGUUGGGGGUGCUCCGAGCACUCUCAGUGUCGAAGCGAAGGUGAUAAGUCCACUGCCUGGGAAGUACGGUCGCAAGGCUGAAACUUAAAGGAAUUGGCGGGGGAGCACCGCAACCUGAGGAUUGUGCGGUUUAAUUGGAUUCAACGCCGGA
rnacentral:rRNA from 1 species